UACGAAGGGUGCAAGCGUUAUCCGGAUUCAUUGGGUUUAAAGGGUGCGUAGGCGGGUCGUUAAGUCAGUGGUGAAAUCCUGCAGCUCAACUGUAGACUUGCCAUUGAUACUGAUGAUCUUGAGUGCGCUUGAAGUAGGCGGAAUAUGUCGUGUAGCGGUGAAAUGCUUAGAUAUGACAUAGAACACCAAUUGCGAAGGCAGCUUACUAAAGCGAUACUGACGCUGAGGCACGAAAGCGUGGGGAUCAAACAGG
rnacentral:rRNA from 1 species